rnacentral:misc_RNA from 1 species
GAUGAAGACGUAGCGAAAUGCGAUAAGUAAUGUGAAUUGCAGAAUUCAGUGAAUCAUCGAAUCUUUGAACGCACAUUGCGCCCGCCAGUAUUCUGGCGGGCAUGCCUGUCCGAGCGUCAUUUCAACCCUCAAGCCCCAGCCGGCUUGGUGUUGGGGACCGGCCCCGGCCGCCCCCCAAAUGCAGUGGCGACCUCGCCGCAGCCUCCCCUGCGUAGUAGCACAACCUCGCACCGGAGCGCGGAGACGGUCACGCCGUAAAACGCCCAACUUCUCAGAGUUGACCUCGGAUCAGGUAGGAAUACCCGCUGAACUUAAGCAUAUCAAUAAGCGGAGGA